rnacentral:rRNA from 1 species
AACGCGAAGAACCUUACCAGGGCUUGACAUCCCCUGCAAAGCUGUAGAGAUACAGUGGAGGGUAUCAGGGUGACAGGUGGUGCAUGGUUGUCGUCAGCUCGUGUCGUGAGAUGUUGGGUUAAGUCCCGCAACGAGCGCAACCCCUAUCUUUAGUAGCCAGCAUUUAGGAUGGGCACUCUAGAGAGACUGCCAGGGAUAACCUGGAGGAAGGUGGGGACGACGUCAAAUCAUCAUGCCCCUUAUGAUCUGGGCUACACACGUGCUACAAUGGUGAUAACAAAGGGAAGCGACCUCGCGAGAGUGAGCAAAUCUCAUAAAAAUCAUCUCAGUUCGGAUUGUAGGCUGCAACCCGCCUGCGUGAAGUCGGAAUCGCUAGUAAUCGCAGGUCAGCAUACUGCGGUGAAUACGUUCCCGGGUCUUGUACACACGC